AUUGAACGCUGGCGGCAGGCCUAACACAUGCAAGUCGAACGAGUGGCGGACGGGUGAGUAAUGUCUGGGAACCUGCCUGAUGUAGGGGGAUAACUACUGGAAACGGUAGCUAAUACCGCAUACCAUCGGAUGUGCCCAGAUGGGAUUAGCUAGUAGGUGGGGUAAAGGCUCACCUAGGCCACGAUCCCUAGCUGGGCUGAGAGGAGGACCAGCCACACUGGAACGGAACCACGGUCCAGACUCCUACGGUAGGCAGCGGUGGGGAAUAUUGCAUAAUGGGCGCAGGCCUGGUGCAGCCAUGCCGCGUGUAUGAAGAGGGCCUGCGGGUUUGAAAGUACUUUCAGCGUGGUGGCGGUACCCGAAGAAGAAGCACCGGCUAACUCCGUGCCAGCAGCCGCGGUAAUAC
rnacentral:rRNA from 1 species